UACAGAGGGGGCAAGCGUUGUCCGGAAUUAUUGGGCGUAAAGAGCUCGUAGGCGGCUUGUUGCGUCGGUUGUGAAAGCCCGGGGCUUAACCCCGGGUCUGCAGUCGAUACGGGCAGGCUAGAGUGUGGUAGGGGAGAUCGGAAUUCCUGGUGUAGCGGUGAAAUGCGCAGAUAUCAGGAGGAACACCGGUGGCGAAGGCGGAUCUCUGGGCCAUUACUGACGCUGAGGAGCGAAAGCGUGGGGAGCGAACAGG
rnacentral:rRNA from 1 species